rnacentral:other from 1 species
UGAUUCCUGGGGUGCUCGAUACUCUUACUUUUUUUGAACCUACAGUAUGACAUCAGGGAUUCCAAUAUUUAUAGGCGGAUGUCAGGCCUCCUCCGAGUGGAAGGCAGAAGUCUAUGUGAGGUUGCCCACCUAGCUUGGCUAGGCGUCAAUAUUGUAAGAACCGGCAUUUUGGGAAUACA